UUGUACACUUGUGUAAUGCUGGCGCAGUUAUAGAUGCUGUGACAUGUGAUAAUUCAACUACCAAUCGGUGUGCCUUGAGGUCCUUAGGAAUUCGUGGUGACAUGAAAGACCAGCAGGUGUCGUUUCAGCACCCAUGCGACCCCUCUAAGGUUAUCUAUGCUAUCAUUGAUCCACCACACAUAUUUAAAUGUAUUAGAAAUAACCUGCAGAAAGUUGGGAAGUUUUUGCUGCCUCAAGGUCGGGAAGUGUAUCAUGAUCAUUAUGCAGCACUUCUAGAGUAUGAAGAGCAACAGUCAGGGCUGCGUGCUGUACCAAAGCUGACGAGGGCACAUAUAUACCCAAACGCUUUUCAGAAAAUG